GCCCUGAGUGCACACACAUGUUCAUGCAGGUUUGAAAAGAUGAUCAGCGGCAUGUACCUGGGGGAGAUCGUCCGCCACAUCCUUUUACAUUUAACCAGCCUUGGCGUUCUCUUCCGGGGCCAGCAGAUCCAGCGCCUUCAGACCAGGGACAUCUUCAAGACCAAGUUCCUCUCUGAGAUCGAAAGUGACAGCCUGGCCCUGCGGCAGGUCCGAGCCAUCCUAGAGGAUCUGGGGCUACCCCUGACCUCAGAUGACGCCCUGAUGGUGCUAGAGGUGUGCCAGGCUGUGUCCCAGCGGGCUGCCCAGCUCUGUGGGGCGGGUGUAGCUGCCGUGGUGGAGAAGAUCCGGGAGAACCGGGGCCUGGAAGAGCUGGCAGUGUCUGUGGGGGUGGAUGGAACGCUCUACAAGCUGCACCCGCA
rnacentral:sRNA from 1 species